rnacentral:rRNA from 1 species
UAACGCUGAGAUACGAUGUCGAGCUACUACGGUAGUGAAGUCAUUGAUGCCAUGCUUCCAGGAAAAGCCUCUAAGCUUCAGAUUGUAAGGAAUCGUACCCCAAACCGACACAGGUGGUCGGGUAGAGAAUACCAAGGCGCUUGAGAGAACUCGGGUGAAGGAACUAGGCAAAAUGGUACCGUAACUUCGGGAGAAGGUACGCUCUUAUCAGUGAAGUCCCUUGCGGAUGGAGCAGACGAGAGUCGCAGAUACCAGGUGGCUGCAACUGUUUAUUAAAAACACAGCACUGUGCAAAAUCGUAAGAUGACGUAUACGGUGUGACGCCUGCCCGGUGCCGGAAGGUUAAUUGAUGGGGUUAGACUU